rnacentral:rRNA from 1 species
UACGUAGGGUGCGAGCGUUGUCCGGAUUUAUUGGGCGUAAAGAGCUCGUAGGCGGUCUGUCGCGUCGGAUGUGAAAGCCCGGGGCUUAACCCCGGGUCUGCAUUCGAUACGGGCAGACUAGAGUGUGGUAGGGGAGAUCGGAAUUCCUGGUGUAGCGGUGAAAUGCGCAGAUAUCAGGAGGAACACCGGUGGCGAAGGCGGAUCUCUGGGCCAUUACUGACGCUGAGGAGCGAAAGCGUGGGGAGCGAACAGG